GUGAGGAAUAUUGGUCAAUGGGCGAGAGCCUGAACCAGCCAAGUCGCGUGAAGGAUGAAGGUUUUAUGAAUUGUAAACUUCUUUUGCAGGGGAAUAAAGUACGGUACGUGUACCGUUUUGUAUGUACUCUGCGAAUAAGGAUCGGCUAACUCCGUGCCAGCAGCCGCGGUAAUACGGAGGAUCCAAGCGUUAUCCGGAUUUAUUGGGUUUAACGGGUGCGCAGGCGGGUUGAUAAGUCAGCGGUGAAAGUUUGCAGCUUAACUGUAAAAUUGCCGUUGAAACUGUCGAUCUUGAGUGCAAAUGAGGUAGGCGGAAUGCGUGGUGUAGCGGUGAAAUGCAUAGAUAUCACGCAGAACUCCGAUUGCGAAGGCAGCUUACUAAGCUACAACUGACACUGAAGCACGAAAGCGUGGGGAUCAAACAGGAUUAGAUACCCUGGUAGUCC
rnacentral:rRNA from 1 species